rnacentral:lncRNA from 1 species
UGCUGCCCCCUAGACCCAACAGGUUAAAGAAAACACUUAAACAAAUUAAACAAACGACGAAAACAGUUCCAUAAGGCUCACAGGCUAUACAGAAAAUAACCACCCACAAAACACAAGUGAAAACAAACCCAACUAAAUAUGGCCUCCAAUUAGAGACAACGACAACCAGCUGCCUCUAAUUGGAGGUCAUUGCCAAAAAUCCAACAUAGAAAUAGAAAACUAGAUAUACACAUACAAAUAGAAAAUAUAGAACAUAAACCAAAAACACCGAAACACAAACACCCCCUGCCACGCCCUGACCCAACUACAAUGACAAAUAACCCCUUUUACUGGUCAGGACGUGACAUGGUAACACAUAAAUAAUGAAGCAGGUUAAUAGGUUAAACAUUUCGCUUUCAAUUCCAAUGCUUUUUUUCAAGAUACAACAGGUAAGUAUAUUAUUUUGUAUACAUAUUGCAUAUUUCCCCUCACCUAAUGAACAACCACAAUACCAGUCUGGUGUUAAGCUUUCUGUGCUGUAUUGACGUAUCCUGAAAAUGACAUCUGCUGCAUUAGAUUGAAGGGUCAUAUCUCAGUUAUUGUUUUCUUUACUUUCAGAGUGCGAGCUGAUCAAGGGGUCGAAAAUGUAGAUAUUGCCAGAUGUUCACUAUCCGAGGAACAGGCCGUGGAAGCUUUAUUGCUGGCAAAAGUGUCCAUAACCAGAGGUUAUAUCAGCUGUGUUGGUGAACCCCUCCCGCAUCUGAACAGGCUGACACAGAGGGCACAGCAUGAUCAUAAGUGAGAGGUCACUUGGUUGGGUCAACAGUAUGUUUUGAUGUAAGAGAGGAAGCCAGUCCCGUCAUCGCCACCUCACCCGUUCUUAAGAUAACCUUUGGGCCAACUGUGGGCCCAUGCUGGUUAGGAGACACCGCUAGAGACACUGUAAUUGUGAUGAACUGAGAGAAUAUUAGGGUAGCUCUGUAAUUAAUUAAUGAUAUGCUGUCUGCCUCUGUUCUUACCUCUUUCCCUUUGUCUUCUACACCUCUCUCCCCACCUCAUCUUUCUUCCUUGUUUUAUAAUGCACAGCAUAUGUGCAUUGAAGUACAGAUUAAUAUUAUAUUAUAAAUACAAGUUCACAAUUAUCAUAAUUAUAAUGCAUGUAUUAUGUAUUUAUAACACCUGGAUAAUGAACUUCUUUCAAUAAAGCGUUUCACAUUCUCCACUGGUUGAAAUAUUAUCCUUUGUCCUCAGAUUAAUGCAGAUGAAGGGAGUUAGAUAUGCAUAGUUUUUUAUUCUGUAUAUAUGAAUUAAAAUCAGCCUUUAUUUAAA